rnacentral:misc_RNA from 1 species
GAAAUGCGAUAAGUAAUGUGAAUUGCAGAAUUCAGUGAAUCAUCGAAUCUUUGAACGCAUCUUGCGCUCCUUGGUAUUCCUUGGAGCAUGCCUGUUUGAGUAUCAUGAAAUCUUCAAAGUAAAUCUUUUGUUAACUCAAUUGGUUUCUACUUUGGUAUUGGAGGUCUUUGCAGCUUCACACCUGCUCCUCUUUGUUCAUUAGCUGGAUCUCAGUGUUAUGCUUGGUUCCACUCGGCGUGAUAAAUUACCUAUCGCUGAGGACACUGUAAAAGGUGGCCAAGGUAAAUGCAGAUGAACCGCUUCUAAUAGUCCAUUGACUUGGACAAUACUUUUAUGAUCUGAUCUCAAAUCAGGUAGGACUACCCGCUGAACUUAAGC